GUCUUCCUGGGGCAGCACAUAUACUAAAAUUGGAACAAUACAGAAAAGAUUAGCAUGGCCCAUGUGCAUGGAUGGCUCACAAAAUCAUGGUAGCUCAGUGGUUAAA